rnacentral:rRNA from 1 species
CUACCAAGACAGUGACGGUUGACGGGAAAUCAGGGUUUUGUACCGGAGAGGGAGCCUGAGAGAUUGCUCCCACGUCCAAGGACGGCAGCAGGCGCGAAAAUUGCCCACUCUUUGCAGGAGGCAGUUAUGAGACGUGAAGAUGAGUAUCUUGUAAAGAGGGAUAGGAGAAUUGGAGGGCAAGUUUGGUGCCAGCAGCCGCGGUAAUACCGACUCCAAGAGUGUGUAUGAGAGAUGCUGCAGUUAAAAAGUCCGUAGUCAUAGAAGGGCAAAGAGAGACGCGAGGUCUCACAGUGCGAUGAUGGAGGAGCCGAUGGGGAACAUAGUAUACCAGGGCGAGAGAUGAAAUGCCAAGACCCCUGGUGGACUGAGCGAGGCGAAGGCGAUGUUCUUGUAGGCAUUCGGUGAUCAAGGACGAAGGCUGGAGUAUCGAAAGUGAUUAGAUACCGCAGUAGUUCCAGCAGUAAAAGAUGCC